rnacentral:rRNA from 1 species
GACGAAACGCUAGGCGGCGCGCCUAACACAUGCAAAGUCGGAACGGAGCAUACGGGAGGAAGUCUUCGGACGGAAUCUGGUAUUGCUUAGUGGCGGACGGGUGAGUAAACACGUGAGCAAACCUGCCUAUCAGAGGGGGAUAACGAUUGGAAACGAUCGCUAAUACCGCAUAACGCAGCGAGGAGGCAUCUUCUUGCUGCCAAAGAUUUAUCGCUGAUAGAUGGGCUCGCGUCCGAUUAGAUAGUUGGUGAGGUAACGGCCCACCAAGUCGACGAUCGGUAGCCGGACUGAGAGGUCGAACGGCCACAUUGGGACUGAGACGCGGCCCAGACUCCUACGGGAGGCAGCAGU